rnacentral:rRNA from 1 species
UACGUAGGGUGCGAGCGUUGUCCGGAAUUAUUGGGCGUAAAGAGCUUGUAGGCGGUCUGUCGCGUCUGCUGUGAAAAUCCGGGGCUCAACCCCGGACUUGCAGUGGGUACGGGCAGACUAGAGUGUGGUAGGGGAGACUGGAGUUCCUGGUGUAGCGGUGAAAUGCGCAGAUAUCGGGAGGAACACCGGUGGCGAAGGCGGUUCUCUGGGCCUUACCUGACGCUGAGGAGCGAAAGCGUGGGGAGCGAACAGG